rnacentral:rRNA from 1 species
GCUCAAUGAUUUUUUAAAUUGCUGUAGUAUUUUGACUAUACAAAGGUAUUGUAAUAAGAUUUUAAUUGAAUGCUAAGAGAAUGGAUUAACAAAAAAAUUCUUUUUUAAUUUUAAAAAUUGAAGUUAAUUUUUUUUGUGCAGAAACUAUAAUAAAAAUUAAGGACAAGAAGACCCUAAGAAUUUUAAACUAUUAAUUUUAGUUCUAAAUUUUUUUAGUUUUAAUUGGGGCGAUUGAUUAAAAUUUUAAACUUUGUUUUAAAAUAAGAUGAACCGUUAGUAACGGUAAUAUGAUAAAAAUACUCUAGGGAUAACAGCGUUAUAAUUUUUGAUAGUUCUUAUAGACAAAAUAGUUUGCGACCUCGAUGUUGGAUUAGGAUUCUUAUUUAAUGAAGAAGUUAAAAAGAAGUU